rnacentral:rRNA from 1 species
UACGUAGGGUGCAAGCGUUGUCCGGAAUUAUUGGGCGUAAAGAGCUCGUAGGCGGUUUGUCGCGUCUGCUGUGAAAACUCGGGGCUUAACCCCGGGCCUGCAGUGGGUACGGGCAGACUAGAGUACGGUAGGGGAGACUGGAAUUCCUGGUGUAGCGGUGAAAUGCGCAGAUAUCAGGAGGAACACCGGUGGCGAAGGCGGGUCUCUGGGCCGUAACUGACGCUGAGGAGCGAAAGCGUGGGGAGCGAACAGG